rnacentral:rRNA from 1 species
UACGGAGGAUGCGAGCGUUAUCCGGAUUUAUUGGGUUUAAAGGGUGCGCAGGCGGAAUGUCAAGUCAGCGGUAAAAUUUCGGGGCUCAACCCCGUCGUGCCGUUGAAACUGGCUGUCUUGAGAUGUCGAGAGGUAUGCGGAAUGCGCAGUGUAGCGGUGAAAUGCAUAGAUAUCACGCAGAACCCCGAUUGCGAAGGCAGCGUACCGGCGCCCAACUGACGCUGAAGCACGAAAGCGUGGGUAUCGAACAGG